GGUGAUCAUAAUAACUUAACGAAUCGCAUGGCCUUGCGCCGGCGAUGGUUCAUUCAAAUUUCUGCCCUAUCAACUUUCGAUGGUAGGAUAGUGGCCUACCAUGGUGGCAACGGGUAACGGGGAAUUAGGGUUCGAUUCCGGAGAGGGAGCCUGAGAAACGGCUACCACAUCCAAGGAAGGCAGCAGGCGCGCAAAUUACCCAAUCCCGAUACGGGGAGGUAGUGACAAUAAAUACUGAUACGGGGCUCUUUUGGGUCUCGUAAUUGGAAUGAGAACAAUUUAAAUCCCUUAACGAGGAACAAUUGGAGGGCAAGUCUGGUGCCAGCAGCCGCGGUAAUUCCAGCUCCAAUAGCGUAUAUUAAAGUUGUUGCAGUUAAAAAGCUCGUAGUUGAACCUUGGGUCUGGCUGGCCGGUCCGCCUCACCGCGAGUACUGGUCCGGCUGGACCUUUCCUUCUGGGGAACCUCAUGGCCUUCACUGGCUGUGGGGGGAACCAGGACUUUUACUGUGAAAAAAUUAGAGUGUUCAAAGCAGGCCUUUGCUCGAAUACAUUAGCAUGGAAUAAUAGAAUAGGACGUGUGGUUCUAUUUUGUUGGUUUCUAGGACCGCCGUAAUGAUUAAUAGGGAUAGUCGGGGGCGUCAGUAUUCAGCUGUCAGAGGUGAAAUUCUUGGAUUUACU
rnacentral:rRNA from 1 species